AGUGAACGCUGGCGGUAGGCCUAACACAUGCAAGUCGAACGGCAGCACAGUAAGAGCUUGCUCUUACGGGUGGCGAGUGGCGGACGGGUGAGGAAUAUAUCGGAAUCUACUUUUUCGUGGGGGAUAACGUAGGGAAACUUACGCUAAUACCGCAUACGACCUACGGGUGAAAGCAGGGGAUCUUCGGACCUUGCGCGAUUGAAUGAGCCGAUGUCGGAUUAGCUAGUUGGCGGGGUAAAGGCCCACCAAGGCGACGAUCCGUAGCUGGUCUGAGAGGAUGAUCAGCCACACUGGAACUGAGACACGGUCCAGACCCCUACGGGAGGCAGCAGUGGGGAAUAUUGGACAAUGGGCGCAAGCCUGAUCCAGCCAUACCGCGUGGGUGAAGAAGGUCUUCGGGUUGUAAAGCCCUUUUGUUGGGAAAGAAAAGCAGCAGGUUAAUACCCCGCUGUUCUGACGGUACCCAAAGAAUAAGCACCGGCUAACUUCGUG
rnacentral:rRNA from 1 species